AGGUUGUGAUGUGGGCAUUUCCUUAACAAGUUUUUGAAUCACUCCCACACCUGAAAUUGUGAUUCAAUGUUCAACUGUGUAUAAGUUGUAAUCUCCUAACACAACUU